GACGAACGCUGGCGGCGUGCCUAAUACAUGCAAGUAGGACGAGUUGCGAACGGGUGAGUAACGCGUGGUCCCCUGCCUAUUAGAGGGGGAUAACUAUUGGAAACGAUAGCUAAUACCGCAUACUCGUAUAUGGACCUGCGUUGUAUUAGCUAGUAGGUAGGGUAAUGGCCUACCUCGGCGACGAUACAUAGCGGACCUGAGAGGGGGACCAGCAACACUGGAACUGAGACACGGUCCAGACUCCUACGGGAGGCAGAAGUGGGGAAUAUUGCACAAUGGGCGCAAGCCUGAUGCAGCCAUGCCGCGUGGAUGAAGAAGGCCUUCGGGUUGUAAAGUACUUUCAGCGGGGAGGCGUUACCCGCAGAAGAAGCACCGGCUAACUCCGUGCCAGCAGCCGCGGUAAUUC
rnacentral:rRNA from 1 species